rnacentral:rRNA from 1 species
AUUGAACGCUGGCGGCAUGCUUUACACAUGCAAGUCGAACGGCAGCGCGGGCUUCGGCCUGGCGGCGAGUGGCGAACGGGUGAGUAAUACAUCGGAACGUGCCCCGUAGUGGGGGAUAGCUCGGCGAAAGCCGGAUUAAUACCGCAUACGACCUGAGGGUGAAAGCGGGGGAUCUUCGGACUUCGCGCUCUUGGAGCGGCCGAUGGCAGAUUAGCGAGUUGGUGGGGUAAAGGCCUACCAAGGCGACGAUCUGUAGCUGGUCUGAGAGGACGACCAGCCACACUGGGACUGAGACACGGCCCAGACUCCUACGGGAGGCAGCAGUGGGGAAUUUUGGACAAUGGGCGAAAGCCUGAUCCAGCAAUGCCGCGUGUGUGAUGAAGGCCUUCGGGUUGUAAAGCACUUUUGGCGGGAACGAAAAGGACUGUGCCAAUACCACGGUUCGAUGACGGUACCCGCAGAAUAAGCACCGGCUAACUACGUG